GCGUAGGACGUAAUUGUAAGGAACUCCGGGGUUAUUCACAUUCCCCAAAUGUAGAGGACUGGGGAAUGUGAAUAACCCCGGAGUUCCUUACAAUUACGUCUGUA
rnacentral:pre_miRNA from 1 species